UCCCAGCAAUGUGGCUCAGUUGGUAGAACGUGAGACUUUUAAUCUCAGGGCUGUGGGUUCAAGCCCCAUGUUGGGGAA